CGUACUAAUUUUACAGUGUUGUUAACUUUUACAAGGUACGGAACACUCGUUCGUUUAGUUUAAUAGGAACUUCGUCCGGUUCUGCGUUUGUUUAACAGCGAAAUCAACUCGUAGCCGUGAAAAAUUAUUUUAACGUCGUAAUGUUUACUCGUUGUUACGCAAUAAAUUGGCGUCCGUAAGUCGUUGCGGCACGUAAAAGAAUGCCGCGAGAUCUAUAAACGGAUACACAUACCCGGGUCUCGCGUUCAUCUGCAGGCAUGCAAAGGGUUCGAAAAACAAAUCUCAGCAAAAAUGUACCGUGGUUAUUUAAAAGUAUAAUAGAAAUGAUUAUAGGGCCCGGAUUUACAUGCUCUGAGAUCCUUAGAGAUAUGCACUGU